UGACAUGUUGUCACAUGGGCCUACAUACAUU
rnacentral:piRNA from 1 species